rnacentral:rRNA from 1 species
GACGAACGCUGGCGGCGUGCUUAACACAUGCAAGUCGAACGGAAAGGCCCUGCUUUUGUGGGGUGCUCGAGUGACGAACGGGUGAGUAACACGUGAGUAACCUGCCCUUGACUUUGGGAUAACUUCAGGAAACUGGGGCCAAUACCGGAUAGGAGCUCCUGCUGCAUGGUGGGGGUUGGAAAGUUUCGGCGGUUGGGGAUGGACUCGCGGCUUAUCAGCUUGUUGGUGGGGUAGUGGCUUACCAAGGCUUUGACGGGUAGCCGGCCUGAGAGGGUGACCGGCCACAUUGGGACUGAGAUACGGCCCAGACUCCUACGGGAGGCAGCAGUGGGGAAUAUUGCACAAUGGGCGGAAGCCUGAUGCAGCAACGCCGCGUGCGGGAUGACGGCCUUCGGGUUGUAAACCGCUUUCGCCUGUGACGAAGCGUGAGUGACGGUAAUGGGUAAAGAAGCACCGGCUAACUACGUGCCAGCAGCCGCGGUGAUACGUAGGGUGCGAGCGUUGUCCGGAUUUAUUGGGCGUAAAGGGCUCGUAGGUGGUUGAUCGCGUCGGAAGUGUAAUCUUGGGGCUUAACCCUGAGCGUGCUUUCGAUACGGGUUGACUUGAGGAAGGUAGGGGAGAAUGGAAUUCCUGGUGGAGCGGUGGAAUGCGCAGAUAUCAGGAGGAACACCAGUGGCGAAGGCGGUUCUCUGGGCCUUUCCUGACGCUGAGGAGCGAAAGCGUGGGGAGCGAACAGGCUUAGAUACCCUGGUAGUCCACGCUGUAAACGGUGGGUACUAGGUGUGGGGUCCAUUCCACGGGUUCCGUGCCGUAGCUAACGCUUUAAGUACCCCGCCUGGGGAGUACGGCCGCAAGGCUAAAACUCAAAGGAAUUGACGGGGCCCCGCACAAGCGGCGGAGCAUGCGGAUUAAUUCGAUGCAACGCGUAGAACCUUACCUGGGUUUGACAUGGAUCGGGAGCGCUCAGAGAUGGGUGUGCCUCUUUUGGGGUCGGUUCACAGGUGGUGCAUGGCUGUCGUCAGCUCGUGUCGUGAGAUGUUGGGUUAAGUCCCGCAACGAGCGCAACCCUUGUUCACUGUUGCCAGCACGUUAUGGUGGGGACUCAGUGGAGACCGCCGGGGCCAACUCGGAGGAAGGUGGGGAUGACGUCAAGUCAUCAUGCCCCUUAUGUCCAGGGCUUCACGCAUGCUACAAUGGCUGGUACAGAGAGUGGCGAGCCUGUGAGGGUGAGCGAAUCUCGGAAAGCCGGUCUCAGUUCGGAUUGGGGUCUGCAACUCGACCUCAUGAAGUCGGAGUCGCUAGUAAUCGCAGAUCAGCAACGCUGCGGUGAAUACGUUCCCGGGGCU